rnacentral:lncRNA from 1 species
CCUAUAGUCAGUAAUGUUCUGCUAAUCAUUUCUUUUCUUUUCUUUUUUUUUUUUAGAUUAUUUAUUUAUUUAUUUGACAGAUCACAAGUAGGCAGAGAGGCAGGCAGAGAGAGAGGAGGAAGCAGGCUCCCCACUGAGCAGAGAGCCUGACGCGGGACUCGAUCCUAGGACCACAGGACCAUGACUCGAGCCAAAGGCAGAGGCUCCAACCCACUGAGCCACCCAGGAAUGGCCAGUGACAUCUGCCAAGCUCCCAGAAAAAGAAAGAGCCAUAGCCCUGCUAACAUGCCUUCUGUCCUAUGGAUACGGAACGAAUGCCCAGUGUUUCAAAGACUGCAUAUUCUUCACCCACCGGAACACAAUGGAAAAGAGAGAGAGAGCACAAGCAAGGGGAGCAGCAGAGGGAAAGGGAGAAGCAGACUCCCUGCUGAGCAGGGAGCCUGAUGCGGGGCUGGAUCCCAGGACCCUGGGAUCAUGACCUGAGCUGAAGACAGACACUUAACCAAGCCACUCAAUUCAGGUGCCCAGGAGACCUCUCUCUUUUCUAAUACAAGCAUUUAAAGCUAUAUGUUUUCCCUUAAGUGUUGCUUUAGCUGUAUCACACAUGUUCAUAUGUUGAAUUUUCAUCAUUAUUCACUUGACAUAUUGCCUUAUUUCCCCUUUUAUUUCUUCUUUGAUUCAUGGAUUGUUUAAAAUUUUAUUGUUUAAAUUUCCAAUAUUUGUGUUUUUUUCCCUUAGUAUUUUAUUUUUAUGGCUUUCUAAUUGAAUUUUAUUGUGAUCUGAGAACAUCCUUUGUACAAUUUCUAUCAUGUUAUGUAUAUUUUGUGGCCUG